GACGAACGCUGGCGGCGUGCCUAAUACGUGCAAGUCGAGCGGACAGAAGGGAGCUUGCUCCCGGAAGUUAGCGGCGGACGGGUGAGUAACACGUGGGCAACCUACCCUGUAGAUCGGGAUAACAUCGAGAAAUCGGUGCUAAUACCGGAUAAUCAUUUGAAGUGCAUGCUUCGAAUGUAAAAGAUGGCUCCGGCUAUCACUACGGGAUGGGCCCGCGGCACAUUAGCUAGUUGGUAAGGUAAUGGCUUACCAAGGCAACGAUGCGUAGCCGACCUGAGAGGGUGAUCGGCCACCCUGGGACUGAGACACGGCCCAGACUCCUCCGGGAGGCAGCAGUAGGGAAUCUUCCGCAAUGGACGAAAGUCUGACGGAGCAACGCCGCGUGAGUGAUGAAGGUUUUCGGAUCGUAAAGCUCUGUUGUUAGGGAAGAACAAGUGCCGUUUGAAUAAGGCGGCACCUUGACGGUACCUAACCAGAAAGCCACGGCUAACUACGUGCCAGCCGCCGCCGUAAGAC
rnacentral:rRNA from 1 species